rnacentral:rRNA from 1 species
CCAAUAGCGUAUAUUAAAGUUGUUGCAGUUAAAAAGCUCGUAGUUGAAUUUCGGGAUUGACGUGAUGGUCGUGCCUUAAGGGGUAUGAACUGUCGCAGUUGAUUUCUCACCUUCUGGAGAAGCUUGAUGUCCUUAAUUGGGUGUCAUGUGGAACCAGGACCUUUACCUUGAAAAAAUUAGAGUGUUUAAAGCAGGCAUUUUGCUCGAAUACAUUAGCAUGGAAUAAUAGAAUAGGACGGCAUGGUUCUAUUUUGUUGGUUUCUAGGAUCACCGUAAUGAUUAAUAGGGAUAGUUGGGGGCAUUAGUAUUCAAUUGUCAGAGGUGAAAUUCUUGGAUUUAUUGAAGACUAACUACUGCGAAAGCAUUUGCCAAGGGUGUUUUCAUUAAUCAAGAACGAAAGUUAGGGGAUCGAAGACGAUCAGAUACCGUCGUAGUCUUAACCAUAAACUAUGCCGACUAGGAAUCGGACGAUGUUAAUUUUUUAAUGACUCGUUUGGCACCUUACG